rnacentral:rRNA from 1 species
UACAUAGGUGGCAAGCGUUGUCCGGAUUUACUGGGCGUAAAGAGCGCGCAGGCGGUCGUUCAAGUCGCGUGUGAAAGCCCCCGGCUCAACUGGGGAGGGUCACGCGAUACUGAUCGACUCGAAGGCAGGAGAGGGUAGUGGAAUUCCCGGUGUAGUGGUGAAAUGCGUAGAUAUCGGGAGGAACACCAGUGGCGAAGGCGACUACCUGGCCUGUUCUUGACGCUGAGGCGCGAAAGCUAGGGGAGCAAACAGG